rnacentral:rRNA from 1 species
GACAGAGGGUGCAAACGUUGCUCGGAAUCACUGGGCGUAAAGGGCGUGUAGGCGGGAAGGAAAGUCGGGCGUGAAAUCCCUGGGCUCAACCCAGGAACUGCACUCGAAACUUCUUUUCUUGAGUGCCGGAGAGGAAAGCGGAAUACCUGGUGUAGAGGUGAAAUUCGUAGAUAUCAGGUGGAACACCAGUGGCGAAGGCGGCUUUCUGGACGGGUAAC